rnacentral:rRNA from 1 species
UACGUAGGGUGCAAGCGUUGUCCGGAAUUAUUGGGCGUAAAGAGCUUGUAGGCGGUUUGUCGCGUCUGCUGUGAAAUUUCGGGGCUCAACCCCGAACUUGCAGUGGGUACGGGCAGACUAGAGUGUGGUAGGGGAGACUGGAAUUCCUGGUGUAGCGGUGAAAUGCGCAGAUAUCAGGAGGAACACCGAUGGCGAAGGCAGGUCUCUGGGCCAUAACUGACGCUGAGAAGCGAAAGCUAGGGGAGCGAACGGG